GAGGGAGAGAGAGAGAGAGAGAGAGAGAGAGAGAGAGGGAGAGAGAGAGAGAGAGGAAGAGCGAGCGAGUGUGAAUGUGCCAUCGGUGGAUGUAAUUAGUGUAGAAAUUAUACAGUGUUCCGUGAAGCAUUGAAUGUGUUGUCACGGGUUACUAUCUGAAAAGGUUGAGACUACCAUUGAAAGGAAAGUGGAAUGGCAUUACACCUGUUAUAGACGGGAAGUGUUUUUUUUUGUAGUUGACUGUAUAUAAUGUACUGGAGUGAUACUGGCUAGGGCCACACCCAAAGAAGUUGGCUUGGUGUACGGAGGUCUUGAUGUACGUAGCAGCUUGCUUCAAAGCAUUAUAGUUAACUGCUUGUACACACAUUAUAGAAGACAAGUUGAGAAAGAUGUGGCUUCUGGCUUUAUAAGUUUUGCUACAUGAGAAUUUGCAGCUUUAAGUAGAACCGAUACUUUCCAUCGAUGGCACAGGGGCUUGGGAGACAAGCUGAGAUUUCUACGACUACGAGAGUUGUUGCAAGACGGGACAUUCGGACACGUGACCGACAGAUCACCAAGAACAUGGCGUCUUCAGUAGAGAACGCAAUAUGAACAUUAUGGUGAGCGAUAAUGGUGCCGAUUAUGUUGACGAGACUAUUAUGGAACUUGAGAUAAAUAGUUCGUUGAACUUGAAAGUCACAUCUAAAAAGAUGUCAUAGGCUUAGCAGAGCCAAUUGGACUAUUUCGUGUUUGAGUGUGUAUUGUUGAUGCAUGCAUUGUAUAAAGACUAUUUUGAAAGAUGUAAUCAAGGGUGAAGUUAGCGGACAAUACAGGUCUGGAGUUAACCGUUCACGUGACGAGAAGUCAGUUGUUGAUUAUUUUGAGAAGAGAUCAUGAUAUUUGUGAAGGUAUAAUUUGUUAAAGUUGAUAACUAAAUAAACGACAAUAUACUGGUCUGUUUAUUGAUGUUAAGGUAAAAUAUCUCAAGAACGAGAUGUGUAUGAGUUAAUUGUUUAAGCUACAGAUGUGUUAUAUAUAUUUAGACAAUUCAGGUCUGUUUAUAUAUAAACAUUAUUGGUGUAGAAUUCAUGUAUUACAAAUUAUAGAAAGAUUUGAUACAUGUUACAAAGGUGUUGAUCAUAUAUUUGAUUGACAAGGUUGAUUUUAUUUUGAUGGGACCAAGUGUUUUUGGAAAGAGAUUGUAAGAGGAUAUAUAUUUCGUUCGUACCAUUCUCUUUUUGUCGGAGAAUGGUACUAUUCUUUGCUUUAUAAUAAAGCUUCAUUAUAAUUACGAGUAUCGUAAA